rnacentral:lncRNA from 1 species
AUCUAAAGAGUUGCAGGAAAGUUUGAGGCAUCUUAUGCAAUAAUGGUCUAGCAUCACCAUGCCUACUAACCAGUUAGAACUGUCUGGUCUAUGUGACUAGAAAUGACCAUUUUAAAACAACUGAGUCAAGGGGUCCCCUGGUGGCUCAGUGGGUUAAGGAUCCAGCAUUGUCACCACUGUGGCUCUGGUCACUGCUGUGGUGCCAGUUACCAGUUUGAUCCUUGGUCUGGCAAAUUCUGCAUGCCAUAGAUGCAACUGGGAAAAAAAAAUAUAAAAACUGCAUCAACAUGUUAUUAAACUGGAAGAAACCAACCGAUUGCCAUUUAUGAAUCCAAUAUACAUUUUUUAUUUUUGGGACAGACUUCAGAAACUGAUUGGGCUCCAUUUGGCUUUGGGAGAGAGUUAAAUUUCACACACACCCCAAAAAAACAUUGGGCAGCCCUCAGAAUGAUUUAUGUAUAGGUCUCUGAUGCAUAAAAUCUCAUUUUCUUCAGUGCAUUUGUCAAAAGAUUUUUUCUCUGAUGUGUGUCUUGUGUAGGACUUGAUGUAAUCCCCCUAGCCUUCCAUGCACCAUGCAGGAGGUGUAUUUUUGCUGAAACUUUCUCUUGACAGGUCUUAGGAUGAUCAUGUUUGACUGAUGCGUUGGUGUUCUUCCUUUCACUCCUGCACUAUGAACUUUAUAUCAUGUUUUACUUCCCUGCAUAUUAAUGCCUUGGUCUUCAUGUACAGAUGAAGUGAAGCCAUAAAACUCAGUCCCAUCAGCCAAUUAAGAUUCACCUGACAGGAGACACUUUAUCUUUUGGGUGCCAACCCAGGAACUGCGAAAAGACAGCAUCUUGUUUGCCUUUCCAAAAAUACACCCCCAUAGAAUAGAAAUUACAUACGCUUUUUGCUGGCUUAAGCAUAACCUGGAUUUAUUAUAUGGGGAAGAUAGAUGAGAGAUUUUUUUUAAACGUGCUGUAACGGCUUUAAAAUUAUUUACUGUCCUCAUUAUCAUUAGAGAGCAGGCGUUAUCUGAUCUAUUUCUCCUGUUUUUUUAUGGUGAGACUCUAUUUUAAGAUUCAUAAUUUUAAAUACCAUAUGCUCCUGCACAAGAUACACACACCGCAUGGAGAAGAGUGAUGUCUGACUGAUGUCCAGUUGCCUUCACAAAUGCAUUUUUGAAAAGUUAAGAAAAUGUUUCGUAACAGGAGGUGAAAACAGGAUCCUAGACAAAGUUAAGACUGCUUAGCAGAAUCUUUGGAAAGGAAUGGAUGUUGAAUUUAUAGAGCAGGAACAUUUAAAGUGAAAUUUAGAUCCUCACCUUUGGGGUCGUGGUGAUUAAUUUCCAUUCCAAGUGUAACUUUCCUUAUAGGCGAGAAAUUCAGUAAAUAUUGCCCUGUGGCUAACAACCCUGUGAGCUGUUGGCAGAAUUAAUAAAGCUGUCAGGAUUUCUUUAGAAUACUGCACGUCUCCUUGUAUGUCAUUUAAUUGUGAGGUGUAAAUAUGCAUAUGGAACAUCAGAAAGACUAAAUAUAUUAGUCUUUAGGGCUUCAGCUUCUGUUUCUAUACUCAUUUAUCAAUUUUGAUGAAAUUAGGGGAGCUCAUUUUGAGACAAAUAUAUAUAAAAUUGAUGUAGUUUUCCAGGAGAAUGACUUGCAUUGUUUAUACAGCCUAAGUAUCUAGGGAGAAAUAUAUAUUUUUCUAAUAUGCAGCAUUGGAUAUUACAAAAUGUUCUGUAUAUAAGAUUAUGUUCACAGCUUGGGAGAGUUUGAGGAAAAUGCUCCUGGCAAGCAAACUGUUUUUAAGAAGAAAAAGUAGAAAACCUAGGAACAGAGGGAAAACAUAAUGCAGCUUAGUUUCUCACCCUUUAAAAUAUGUAGCUUCUAAUGCAGUAAUCCAAGGGUGUCCUCUCCCAGGAGGAUUCUGAUUAUACAGUGGGAUAGGGUAUAUAGAUUGAGUGAGAAAGCUUCUGUUUAUGCCAAGAGCAAGCUGAGUUCUUCAAAGCAAAGCUUUCAGUACAAAUGAAAAGGUGAUCAGCUUGUCCUAAGAGUGAACUUGAGGCCUGAUAUCCACCUGGGUUUUCCCACACUAAUUGAAUCACUGUCUUUCGUAGAUAGAUACUGGAGUUUCCAUCUUGGCACAGCGGAAACGAAUCAGAUUAGGAAACUGAGGUUGCAGGUUCAAUCCCUGGCCUUACUCAGCGGGUUAAGGAUCUGGAUUAUCAAAAGCUGUGGUGUAGGUGGCAGAUGAGGCUUGGAACUGGUGUUGCUGUGGCCAUGGUGUAAGCCUGCAGCUGCAGUGCCAAUUUGACCCUUAGCCUGGGAACUUCUAUAUGCCAUGGGUUUAGCCCUAAAAAAAAAGCUAAAUAAAUAAAUAGCAUGUGUUCUCCCCUCUCCUGUUAACAAGUGUACUUUUGGAGUUACCUUCGUGGCGCAGUGGAAAUGAAUCUGACUAGGAGCCAUGAGGGUGCAGAUUUGAUCCAUGGCCUCCCUCAGUGGGUUAAGGAUCUGGCAUUACCGUGAGCUGUGGUGUAGGUCACAGAUGCAGCUCGAAUCUGGUGUUGCCGUGGCUGUGGCGUAGGCCAGCAGCUGUAGCUCAGAUGAGACCCCUAGCCUGGGAACCACAAUAACAAAAAACAAGUAUAUACUUUUAUAACAACUUAGCAGUCUAGGUUCAGAUCAGACCAUGUGAUACCCAUCACCCAUUGCCUUCCAACGACUGACCCUCCAGCACAUCAUGGGUCAGAGUUCACCUUUCAACUUACACCUGUAUCCCCACCCAGGAUGACCCCUCUUGCACAUCCUGCCUUUUCUGUGGGUACUCAUCCCAGUCCUGUGCCCUGGCCCAUCUUUCCCUGAGGAAGAUGCACUUGGGUGAGGCCUGCGCCGCCCCAGGAUUUAGAGAGUUUUGAGGUUUUAGAGAGUUUUGAGGUCUGGAGGCCUGAAGGAAUCCUGGUCUAAAUUGAGAUGGAGGAGGAGAGGCAAGGGUUCCAUGUAAGCUCAGUGCCUGCCAGACAGAGUUCUCACCUACAGGGAGAAACUCAAGGCCAAGAGGGCUCAAGCGGAGCCCCUUCAGAGCUGGGAGCCCAGGACAGGGCCCCACUUCCUGCGGAGAACACUCCAUCCUGCAAGUAGUGAUUGAAAGGAAUUGAUUCAAACUCAGAUCAUGUGACUCAAAAGCUGGUAUUUCAAACAGUCUACCUUGCUGACUCCCUAGGGCUUUCAAUGACAAAAAGAAAUAAAAAUGUGGACAGGGCCAACAAUUUCAGGAAUCUUUUUAAAAGAAGCGAAGGGAUUUCAAGAGUCAGGCUCAGUGCAGAAACAGAAGUCGCUGCGUGCCCUUGAGAAGUGGCCGAAGGCCCCCAAUCGGGGCCUCCGUUAAUGUUACCCUGAGGUCUUUCUUUUCAGGGUCUUCCUGAAACGAGCCUCGGGAGCAUCCAGGACCAUGCUCUGUUCCUCUUGCCUAAGAUAAAAAGUGCAGGGCUCUGCUGAUUCCUUAGCGGUGCCUCCAGUCAGCCAGGGAGCUUUAUGUUGCUUUGUGUCUGCAAUCGCUGGGAAAGGGCAACUGUGAUAAGUACCAGGAAGAGGGAUUUUUCUUGACGGUGGUUUGAACACUGAAAGUGAUAAGAGAGGGAGGCCAUCGCUGACUGACCCCAAAAGUGAAUACAGACUGAACAAAAGCGAGCCCUGACUAUAAGAAGAUAAGACUGUUACAAUUGGAAACAGGCUGUAGGAUAUUCAUCUAUUCAAGUCACAGCCUUAUCCUAGAGCAUCCAUGGGAGCAAAACAUAUAUAUAAUAAAAAAUAAAGUCUCAAGAGCUCCACUAUUAAAAUAGGUCAAGACAGUCAAGCAGAUUGAAAGAAAAUAAGGCAAAGCUUGACUCAGUGGGAAAGCUGAAUGCAUGGUCUGGUCAGACAGACAGCCUACUUACUUUUAAGCCAUGUUGACAGGUGUUAAUGAGGACAAAGCAGUGCUGGAAGAGAGCAAGCAAAACAGCCCUUGCAUUUAAAAAUUCACCAGGCUAGGGAGUUCCCUCAUGGUGCAGUGGAAACAAAUCCAACUAGGAACCAUGAGGUUGCACAUUUAAUUCCUAGCCUCGCUCAGUGGGUUAAGGAUCUGGCAUUGCCGUGAGCUGUGAUGUAGGUCGUGUAGGUCACAGACGGAGGUCCAACCUCGAGUUCCUGUGGCUAUGGUGAAGGCCAGCAGCUACAGCUCCGAUUGGACACCUAGCUUGGGAACUUCCACAUGCCGUGAGUGUGGCCCUAAAAAGACGAAAGACAACAAAUAAAUAAAUAAAUAAUAAAUAAAUGAAAUAAAAAAUUCACCAGGAUAAAGAAGGCAUAUCUAAAUAAUUUUUGAAAAUCAGAUGUUGGAUGACUCAGGAGAGGGCAUGAUGAUGGUGUUAUAUAAUGACCACAUGCUGCAGGUCAGAGGCACAUGGCUCUGUGACAAGAUUGUGGUGAGGGUGGAACAAAGAUACAGGUCUUAGGUCAGGGAGUGGCAGAGGUGAGUGUGAAGGACACACCUGUCCUCUUACACAAAUUCUCCAAGACAGGUCAGGGUCAUCUGGGGCCAAGCAGAAUUCCUGAGUUCUAUAGGCUUUUAAGGAGCUGGAUGAGAAUGUCUGUUGAGUAUGUGAUUUGACAAUUUUUAAAUGGGUCGAUUCAAUGUCUUUGUGUCCUUUUAACCCAAGGACAAAUAUGGCUGCAUCAAAAUUUC